rnacentral:rRNA from 1 species
UAGGGAAUCUUCCGCAAUGGACGCAAGUCUGACGGAGCAACGCCGCGUGAGUGAAGAAGGAUUUCGGUUCGUAAAACUCUGUUGUUAGAGAAGAACAGCGCAUAGAGUAACUGUUAUGCGUGUGACGGUAUCUAACCAGAAAGCCACGGCUAACUACGUGCCAGCAGCCGCGGUAAUACGUAGGUGGCAAGCGUUGUCCGGAUUUAUUGGGCGUAAAGCGAGCGCAGGCGGUCAAUUAAGUCUGAUGUGAAAGCCCCCGGCUCAACCGGGGAGGGUCAUUGGAAACUGGUUGACUUGAGUGCAGAAGAGGAGAGUGGAAUUCCAUGUGUAGCGGUGAAAUGCGUAGAUAUAUGGAGGAACACCGGUGGCGAAGGCGGCUCUCUGGUCUGUAACUGACGCUGAGGCUCGAAAGCGUGGGGAGCGAACAGG